UACGUAUGGUGCAAGCGUUAUCCGGAUUUACUGGGUGUAAAGGGAGCGUAGACGGUUGUUUAAGUCUGAAGUGAAAGCCCGGGGCUCAACCCCGGGACUGCUUUGGAAACUAUGCAGCUAGAGUGUCGGAGAGGUAAGUGGAAUUCCCAGUGUAGCGGUGAAAUGCGUAGAUAUUGGGAGGAACACCAGUGGCGAAGGCGGCUUACUGGACGAUGACUGACGUUGAGGCUCGAAAGCGUGGGGAGCAAACAGG
rnacentral:rRNA from 1 species